CGAUUUCUGGUGCAGGAGAGGAUCGCCAGAGAGAGAGAGAGAGAAAUCAGAGAAUGAACAGACAGAAUAAACAAACAGAACAGAACAAAACAUCAUCAUCACACUCGGACAGGUUUUUUCCAUCACGUUUCGGACAAGUCUCAGCUGUUCUGAUUUCUCCAUACUGCAGGGAACACUGCCGGUUGGAUGAAGUCCAUAUUGAAGCUUAAGUGUUAUCAGACAAGAUCAUCUCCGAUCACUGUUCCAUUCUGACGGCAUCUGGAGACCCUCCCAGGAAUUUUGGUAAACCAUUACCAGCCAUCAACCAUCUCUGUGCCUGUCCCUCAUCACACCUGAAGUCACAUCCCUCUGACUGCCCUACCAUCGCCAUUGCCUUCGCCAUCCCUAUUACUGCCCUAACAUCGCCUGCUGUGAUUCCCUGCCCGAAUCUUUGGCCCUCGGAUCCCAGCGACCCAUCACCUUCCGAAAUAACUAAUGGAUUACUAAUGGACAAUUUAUUCCCUACACUGGACUAUUUGAACUUUCAUUGUCAUUGUAACUUUCAAACUACAAAUGACUGUACUUUAACUGACCCAAGGCAGAUGGGUUGGGCCCUUGAGUCGUGGGUCUGUCUGAGGUUUUUUCCUAUAUGUAUCUCCAAUUCUAGGGAGUUUUUCCUUGCCCCUGUUACUCAUGGGCUCUCUUUGAAUGUCUAACACUCUGUAAAGCGCCUUGAGACAUGUGUAAUGUAUUGGCGCUCUAUA